GUGUCAGCAGCCGCGGUAAAACGUAGGAGACGAGCGUUAUCCGGAAUUACUGGGCGUAAAGCGCGUGUAGGCGGUUGAGUCAGUUCGUCGUGAAAGCUUCCGGCUAAACUGGAAGAGGUCGAUGGAUACUGCUCGGCUGGAGUGCGGGAGAGGCAGGUGGAAUUCCGGGUGUAGUGGUGAAAUGCGUAGAGAUCCGGAGGAACACCAGUGGCGAAGGCGGCCUGCUGGUCCGCAACUGACGCUGAGACGCGAAAGCAUGGGGAGCGAACGGGAUUAGAAACCCUCGUAGUCC
rnacentral:rRNA from 1 species